rnacentral:rRNA from 1 species
UACGGAGGGUGCGAGCGUUGUUCGGAAUCACUGGGCGUAAAGCGCGUGUAGGCGGCCCACUAAGUCUGAUGUGAAAGCCCGGGGCUCACCCCCGGAAGUGCAUUGGAAACUGGUGGACUCGAGUCCCGGAGAGGAGAGUGGAAUUCCUGGUGUAGCGGUGAAAUGCGGUAGAUAUCAGGAGGAACACCGGUGGCGAAGGCGGCUCUCGUGGACGGUGACUGACGGCUGAGACGGCGAAAGCGUGGGGAGCAAACAGG